GGCUUUGUCGAACAGGCGGCCGGCUUCGGGCUGAACCCGACGCUUUGGGUGAAAUUCCUGUAUGUGUGUCUGUUCGCCGUGGUGCUCUUGGUGCUGAUGUGGCUAAGCCAGCGGGCGCUGAAUUCGCCCUGGGGCCG
rnacentral:tRNA from 1 species